CCUACGGGGGGCUGCAGUGGGGAAUAUUGGACAAUGGGGGCAACCCUGAUCCAGCCAUGCCGCGUGUGUGAAGAAGGCCCUCGGGUUGUAAAGCACUUUCAGUGAGGAAGAACGCCUGGUGGUUAAUACCCAUCAGGAAAGACAUCACUCACAGAAGAAGCACCGGCUAACUCCGUGCCAGCAGCCGCGGUAAUACGGAGGGUGCGAGCGUUAAUCGGAAUUACUGGGCGUAAAGCGCGCGUAGGUGGCUUGAUAAGCCGGUUGUGAAAGCCCCGGGCUCAACCUGGGAACGGCAUCCGGAACUGUCAAGCUAGAGUGCAGGUGAGGAAGGUAGAAUUCCCGGUGUAGCGGUGAAAUGCGUAGAGAUCGGGAGGAAUACCAGUGGCGAAGGCGGCCUUCUGGACUGACACUGACACUGAGGUGCGAAAGCGUGGGUAGCAAACAGGAUUAGAUACCCCAGUAGUC
rnacentral:rRNA from 1 species